UACAGAGGUCUCAAGCGUUGUUCGGAUUCAUUGGGCGUAAAGGGCUCGUAGGUGGCCAACUAAGUCAGACGUGAAAUCCCUCGGCUUAACCGGGGAACUGCGUCUGAUACUGGAUGGCUUGAGGUUGGGAGAGGGAUGCGGAAUUCCAGGUGUAGCGGUGAAAUGCGUAGAUAUCUGGAGGAACACCGGUGGCGAAGGCGGCAUCCUGGACCAAUUCUGACGCUGAGGAGCGAAAGCCAGGGGAGCAAACGGG
rnacentral:rRNA from 1 species